rnacentral:tRNA from 1 species
GGGCGAUUAGCUCAAAUGGAUAGAGCGCUGGCCUCCGGAGCCAGAGGUCGCGGGUUCAAGUCCCGCAUCGCCCACCA